rnacentral:rRNA from 1 species
CUGGACGCGGGGCGACCCGUGGAGGCUACCAGUGCGCAAAGUCGAGGGCUUCCCU